GACAGAGGGGGCAAGCGUUGCUCGGAAUCACUGGGCGUAAAGGGCGCGUAGGCGGGAUGGCAAGUCGGUCGUGAAAUCCUUCGGCUCAACCGAAGAACGUCGGCCGAUACUGCCGUUCUUGAGGGAUGCAGAGGAGAUUGGAAUUCCCGGUGUAGCGGUGAAAUGUGUAGAGAUCGGGAGGAACACCGGUGGCGAAGGCGGAUCUCUGGGCCUGUCCUGACGCUGAGGCGCGAAAGCUAGGGGGAGCGAACAGG
rnacentral:rRNA from 1 species